rnacentral:lncRNA from 10 species
CGUGGCCAAGGCCCGCCUGAGUGGUGGGGGCCGAGUCAGCUGCAGCCAUGAUAACAGCUGCUCCCAGGAGGCCCCGUCUCCCGGACAGCCACAGUAUCUAUCCGACAGUUCCCGUUCUGUGGGGCCCAGGCCGGAUCGAUGCAGACAGUCCAUCUCAUUUAUCGCUCCCUUAAGUACCACCCAGCAGGGCCUCCUGGGAGCCCGCUGGCCACAAGCCCUGCAGGUCACAGCCGUGGCAAAUCCAGACCUCGCCCUGAACCGCAAGGAGAAAACACACUCAGCCUAAGCCCCUGCCCCUCUGGCCACGCGGCUCCCUUGUCACCGUCGAGGAAGUGUGCCCAGAAGGAGCGGCCAGGGCUUUCCUUCCUCAUCUCCUGCCCAGAGCAGCCCCUUCCAGGCCACAGGCUUAGGGCCUUAGCCUGCAGGCCGAGGGCAGGCCCAGGGACACAGUGAGGGGCCUGGGCUAUUUGAACAGCAGGGAGAAUUUCCCAUGCAGCAUCGCAGAGCUGGACCUGGAAUACAUUCGGUAUUCACUUUCCAGAAGCGACGCACCAGCCUACGGUCCCAGCUCACGUCUGGGGGAGGUAGGCACCCUUAUUUCUGCGCUGUAAAUGGAAAGGCUGCCGUCAGAGGUUAUGUGGGAGGGUGAGAAAAAACGUGGAGGGUUUUAGCAACAGAAAUGAACCAGGUGGAUACAGAUCCCCCAGCUAUAAACACAUGGCUGAGCUCAAAAGAAAGAGAGGCGAAUUCUCAAAUGUGAGAGCAGGAAGGCUGUCUUAUGGCACGUGGGGCCAGGAGCAUGGACCCCAGAUCCAGGCUCUAGCUUGGGGCUGCAGUAUAAUAUCCACUCCAGUUGAGACUUGACCUUGAAUUUGUUUGAGAUGCAAGAAAAGAGAUGGCUCAAAAUGCAAAUCACUGGCCAGACACGGCAACUCACGCCUGUAAUCCC